GAGGGAGCGCAGGAUCCUGGGCUGUGUCCCCCGGCGCCCUGGGCUCCGGGGCCUGCCGCUGGAAUCGCCCUCCCGGGCCGCGCAGCCCCCU
rnacentral:pre_miRNA from 1 species